rnacentral:rRNA from 1 species
UACGGAGGGGGCUAGCGUUGUUCGGAAUCACUGGGCGUAAAGCGUGCGUAGGUGGGUGUUUAAGUGCAAUGCGAAAUCCUGUGGCUCAACCAUAUGGACUGUAUUGCAUACUGGAUACCUAGAGGAUAUGAGAGGCAAGUGGAAUUACCGGUGUAGCAGUGAAAUGCGUAGAUAUCGGUAGGAACACCAAUGGCGAAGGCAGCUUGCUGGCAUAUUUCUGACACUAAGGCACGAAAGCGUGGGGAGCGAACAGG